UACGUAGGGGGCUAGCGUUGUCCGGAUUUAUUGGGCGUAAAGAGCGUGUAGGCGGCCAGGUAGGUCCGUUGUGAAAACUCGAGGCUCAACCUCGAGACGUCGGCGGAAACCCUCUGGCUAGAGUCCGGAAGAGGGGAGUGGAAUUCCCGGUGUAGCGGUGAAAUGCGCAGAUAUCGGGAAGAACACCCGUGGCGAAGGCGGCUCUCUGGGACGGUACUGACGCUGAGACGCGAAAGCGUGGGGAGCGAACGGG
rnacentral:rRNA from 1 species